rnacentral:rRNA from 1 species
UACGUAGGGUGCGAGCGUUGUCCGGAAUUAUUGGGCGUAAAGAGCUCGUAGGCGGUGUGUCACGUCGGCCGUGAAAACCUGCAGCUUAACUGUGGGCGUGCGGUCGAUACGGGCAUCACUGGAGUUCGGCAGGGGAGACUGGAAUUCCUGGUGUAGCGGUGAAAUGCGCAGAUAUCAGGAGGAACACCGGUGGCGAAGGCGGGUCUCUGGGCCGAUACUGACGCUGAAAAGCGAAAGCGUGGGGAGCAAACAGG